GCUACUUAUUAUGUGUUCUGCCUCUUUAGCUUCUCUCUACUGAGUCCACAUAUCUGACAUUAAAAAAGCAAUAUAUUCUGGGCCACCUGAAGAACUGGCACAUUGAUCCAAGUCCUACUGUCCGUUGGUUUGGUCUUCUUGGACUUGGAAAUGUUGCACUUCACCUGCAGAAGCAGAAAGAAGUCAAAGCCCUGCUUACUGAUAUCCUGGAGUCUUUUAAUGACCCUGAGGAGAAGGUAAUUCUGAUGGCUUUUGAAGCUGCUACCAAAAUUGUCACCCGCCACAAGCACAAGGGCCAUCUUGGCACAGAAUUUGUGAAAACUGCCAGACAGCUUCACCCAUUCCUGGCUGACGAGAGGCACAAAAUAUGCUGUGCUGCAACUGAGCUUUUGGGGGAUCUGCUCAGGGCCCUGAAUAGGAAAG
rnacentral:lncRNA from 1 species